UUACACGAAUAAAAAAAAUUAUUAGCUUUUUCAGUAGAUAAAAUUAUUUAUAUGAUAUUAUUAUGAAUUAUUUUCAUUUAUUCUUUCAAAAAUUAAAUAUUAAGGAUAUUUAUCAUCAAUUGAAAAAUUGUCAAUUAAAAAUUGACAAAAGUGAGAUUCCAUCUAUUUCUAAUCGCAUUUUCCAUCAUGCAAAUUUCACAUUGUGUCUCUCCGGAAUGAUAAGAUAUUUUUUGUUCAUGAAAGAGCGGAAGAACUUUUCCUCACCCACGCGAGAAGAUGAAAUCAUAUGAAUUAUUUAUUCACUAAAAUAGAAUUGUUUAUCGUUUUAUGUACUAUGAAUAGUGGAAAAAUAGAUCAAAAUCAAACUCGUAAAAUAGAUAUUUCAUAAAAUUUUCUAUGAAUGAAACUAUAUGUAAUACAUAAUAUACUAUUUUUAAUUUUAUAUAUAUAUGAAUAAUUGAAAUUUGGUGCAAAACAUUUUAAAUAUUUCAAAGAUUCUUAAUUGAAUUGACAUUUAGCAAUAUUUACGAUCAAUACCUAUUUUCAUGAAAUAUAUUUUUUUUCUUUCUUUCAUUCGCAUUAAAUCUUGAAUGUUACACACUAAGAGAUGGUUUAUGAACAUUACAUACUCAUGUUCGGAAGAAGGAAGGCCAACGAACCCGGCUUUUGGACCUUUCUCCCGCGAAGUUAUACAUUUUCUCCGACCAAUGUUCGUUCGAGAUUCGAUGGCAUCCUUUCUUUUUUUUCUGUGCUUUAAUCAUGAGUUCGGUGCCCUACUUAAUUUUCAAUAUUUUACUUCCGCUUAAUUUCUUCCAAUCUUAUCUAUACAUGCGAAUAUGUUCUAAAUUGAUAUAUAUAUAUAUAUACAUACAUACAUA